rnacentral:rRNA from 1 species
UACGUAGGGAGCAAGCGUUGUCCGGAAUCAUUGGGCGUAAAGCGCGCGUAGGUGGCCCCAUAAGUCCGCUGUGAAAGUCAAAGGCUCAACCUUUGAAAGCCGGUGGAUACUGUGGGACUAGAGUACGGAAGAGGCGAGUGGAAUUCCUGGUGUAGCGGUGGAAUGCGCAGAUAUCAGGAGGAACACCAAUAGCGAAGGCAGCUCGCUGGGACGUUACUGACACUGAGGCGCGAAAGCGUGGGGAGCGAGCAGG